UAAUCCUCAUACAGAAAUUAACAGAAAAGUAAUUUCAUACUGGCUAGUCAUUCUUUAGAAAACACAGAAAAUAGAAGGUUCUUCAAAGGAUGUGAAGCAAUGGUGGCAAAAAGUAAGAAUACAAUGAAGUUGUUUAAAGAAGAGAAAAAAAUUCAAGAAUUGAAUAAUAAAGCAAUGUUGAACAGAAGGAAGAAGGAGAAAGAUAGGAAGCAAAGGAAGGAAGCAA